AUGACAAUGCUUUCGAUAGUCUGUACUAAAUUACUUUGUACGAAUGCACAUCUCGGCCGUCGGGUAGCUGAUCACCAUUUCAAAGUCUAUAUCCGUGGUUCAAGAAAUGGAAUUGCUAUUCUCGAUUCAGACAAGACACUGAUUUGUUUACGAAACGCUCUUCAUUUUAUAGGAUCUCCCAGUCGUCAAAAAGGCCGUUCCUUCUUUUUAAAGACCAAUCAUUUAUUUAUUUAUGAGAUAACGGAAGAAAUGGCGAGCUAUUUAAGAAGCUAUUUAAGAAAUGUGAAUUCUCAUUGUUUCGAUGAUUCUCAAUGGAAGAUCGGGGCGUUUUUGACCAAUUCUUUUGCAAAUAAAAAAAAUUCCGUUCAAGAAAGAAGAAGAUCAAUUUUGGGUUGA
rnacentral:rRNA from 1 species